rnacentral:rRNA from 1 species
UGGGGAAUAUUGCGCAAUGGGGGCAACCCUGACGCAGCAACGCCGCGUGAAGGAUGACGGCCUUCGGGUUGUAAACUUCUGUCGCAGAGGAAGAAGAAAGUGACGGUACUCUGUGAGAAAGCCACGGCUAACUACGUGCCAGCAGCCGCGGUAAUACGUAGGUGGCAAGCGUUGUCCGGAUUUACUGGGUGUAAAGGGCGCGUAGGCGGAUCUGCAAGUCAGAUGUGAAAUACCGGAGCUUAACUCCGGAGCUGCAUUUGAAACUGUAGACCUUGAGUGCCGGAGAGGAAAGCGGAAUUCCUAGUGUAGCGGUGAAAUGCGUAGAUAUUAGGAGGAACACCAGUGGCGAAGGCGGCUUUCUGGACGGUAACUGACGCUGAGGCGCGAAAGUGUGGGUAGCAAACAGG